GGGGGGGGGGGGGGGGGGGGCUGGUGGGGGGGGGGCGAGGGAAGGGGCGAGGAGGUGGCUCCGCGGACGUUAGCGGCGGACGGGGGAGGAGCACGGGGAUAACCUACCUAUAAGACUGGGAUAACUUCUGGAAACCGGAGCUAGUACCGGAUAAUAUAUUGAACCGCAUGGUUCAAUAGUGAAAGACGGUUGUGCUGUGACUUAUAGAUGGAUCCGCGCCGCAUUAGCUAGUUGGUAAGUUACAGGCUUACCAAGGCAACGAUGCGUAGCCUACCUGAGAGGGUGAUCGGCCACACUGGAACUGAGACACGGUCCAGACUCCUACGGGAGGCAGCAGUAGGGAAUCUUCCGCAAUGGGCGAAAGCCUGACGGAGCAACGCCGCGUGAGUGAUGAAGGUCUUCGGAUCGUAAAACUCUGUUAUUAGGGAAGAACAAAUGUGUAAGUAACUAUGCACGUCUUGACGGUACCUAAUCAGAAAGCCACGGCUAACUACGUG
rnacentral:rRNA from 1 species